GAAGAUAACGAAGCUCCUGGAUGGACACAAUUGAAGCUGCCCGGGCAAGCUCCAGCUGCCCGAUGCGGGCAUACUGUCACCUCUGGAGGCCACUAUCUUCUCAUGUUUGGAGGCCAUGGAACCGGUGGUUGGUUUAGUCGCAAUGAUGUUUACUACAAUGACUGUGUUGUUUUAGACAGGGGUGAGUCAGUGUCAGUCAUUUUCACAUAAGAUUUUUUUUACAAAAAAAAAUAGUUUAUGUUCUGUUGUUAUAUUUUUUUUAUUGUGUGUUGUGUUAUUGUGUUUUAUUAUCAGUGUCUGUGCAGUGGAAACGCCUUGCAACUAAUACUGAAGCUCCUGCUGUGUGUGCUUACCACUCCAUGACAUGUAUUGGCUCACGUUAUCUUUUAUUUGGUGGCUUUGAUGGAAAACUCACAUUUGGUGAUCUAUGGUGGUUAGUUCCUGAAGAUGAUCCUAUUUCAAAGCGAUCAGAAGUAAUUCAAGAGACCCGGAAUGACUUCCAAUCCGAAACAAAGG